rnacentral:rRNA from 1 species
GAUGAACGCUAGCGGCAGGCCUAAUACAUGCAAGUCGUGGGGCAGCGCAGGUAGCAAUACUGGGCGGCGACCGGCAAACGGGUGCGGAACACGUACACAACCUUCCGAGAAGUGGGGAAUAGCCCAGAGAAAUUUGGAUUAAUACCCCGUAACAUAACGAUGUGGCAUCACAUUGUUAUUAUAGCUUCGGCGCUUCUUGAUGGGUGUGCGGCUGAUUAGAUAGUUGGCGGGUAACGGCCCACCAAGUCUACGAUCAGUAGCUGAUGUGAGAGCAUGAUCAGCCACACGGGCACUGAGACACGGGCCCGACUCCUACGGGAGGCAGCAGUAAGGAAUAUUGGUCAAUGGAUGGAAGUCUGAACCAGCCAUGCCGCGUGCAGGAAGAAGGCCUUCUGGUUGUAAACUGCUUUUGCCAGGGGAUAAAUGACCUUGCGAGGUUAAUUGAAGGUACCUGGUGAAUAAGCCACGGCUAACUACGUGCCAGCA